CGCUAGAUCAGCCCCUUCCGAGCGAGUUCUCCACAUCCUGAAGAAUCACGCCGCCGUGCCCCAUCCGCCCUCUUUCUCUUCCACCGCCACCCAAGUCCCGACCACCUUAAUUGCCGUCCGCCCAGAUGCCUCCUCCGCGCCGACGUCCGCACUGCCGGUCCAGUUGGAGGCAGUAGAGCCGGAGACUCGCGUCGUGCCACUACCUCUGGGGGGAGGGAGGGCUGGGGGAUCUGAAAUAGUGAUAUACCCUCUCAUAUGUAAUGGAAUCGGGGUAUGCCUCCCUGCCCCCGUCCUGCAUCAGAUUUGGCGAAGAGUAGGCCAACGGCGCUCCUCUGACUCUACUCGCAUGGCCUUUCUCGCCCCGGACAUGGAGCAGCCAGCCAGAGUAUCUGCCGCUCCCGAUCGGCCGUAGCGCUCGGACCAAGGAGAGGCACCCAGGUCGAUGGGGCACGCACCACAUGUCGGCAACAUCUGUGGUUGCCACCGAUUUUAUUUAUGCUUGCAUCAGGUACGCUUCCAUCGAAAGCCCACGGACCAGGGUGCCCGCAAAGUCAGUUGUCUUCUCGGCCUACGUCAACGGCAUAAGGCUCAGCAACUCUUCAUUACUCCCGUCAUCUCUCAUCCAGGCGACCAGGCUGCAGAGAUAUGUAGAAGUGCUGAAACUGGUACAAGUUUAUUAUCCUAUUAUAUAUGCCAAUCCAUCUCAUUUUACAUGUUUUUGAUGAACCUUGUUCAUCUCCUUUUACUACUAAUCCUUUUCUUAUUUCUGAUUUUGUGGUUGUUCUACAUCCAAUUCCUCUGAAGUGCACGUGUCUUGGUGGAAUCAUGCAUGACUUGGACGUAUAGUAAGACCUAUAACUACCUACGAGUUUGCGUUUCUAUCCCCCGACAACCCCCUUGGUCGAUGCAUGCCGCAGCUAAUCCACGGCAAGGCUGGAACCAUGGUGUUAGAGUUGCGGCACGCCGCUAAGCCCUAUGCUGGUCCAGAAUAGCUGCUCUUACCUGAUCAGUUCCUUCGCCAAUACCAAGACCAUCCUCUAUUCGGAUUCAACUUGCUUCUGUAAAGUAAGGCAGUUCUGCUUCAUGCUGCAAUUCAAUGAAAAGCAUAUGUUCAAGGAGUCAAGCACGUAAUCAAGCAUUUAGGAGAGAACCCUCAUUUAUUAUUAUCAGCAUGCUGCCAAGAUUAUAGACCUCACAAAACAAGGCAAGCAAUUUUCUCUUUCUUGUUCGUCAUUAACUUAAUGUACACUAUUACAGAUAGCAAAAGUGGAGUGAGUUCGUUACUCCAUCUUUUAUCCUUAUUUGUGGAAAGCUCAAUGAAGUGUGUCCAGCUGGUACAGUUUUUCUUUAGCCGUAACAUCUUGACCUAUCGUUUAUCCUUAUUGUGGAAAACUGAAUUAAGUUUGUACGGGCGGUACACUGCAACAUCUUGACCUAUUGUUUAUUCUUAUUAUGGAAAACUGAAUAAAGUGUGUAUAAACAGAGCAAAUUUUAUAGCUGCAAUGUUUUGACCCUGCUACUUCUUAUUUUAAUAAGGGUGCAAGAUUUCUGGAGUUGUACUUACACACGAGGGAAGUGGUGCUUGUGUUUUGCAGAAAAUACAGUUAAGAAUAUUAUUUUGAUACAGGUUGUACUCCAAAGUAAUUGUGGUGUAAUGGUUUCAGAGUAUCAGUAGAGAUGACAUGACUUAGGGAUUAAGCAUGACUUCUCUACCUACUCAACUAUCCGUGAGCACUCAACUAUUUUGAUAUGUACAUUUACAUUUAAAAUUCUACUGCAAGCUGAUAGCGAUAAUAAUCGCUACGUCAUAAUUAUUUAGUUUAUGAAUAUUGCAUAAUACAUCCUUUUAGCUUGAGUAACAAGGACAAUCA